rnacentral:tRNA from 1 species
GGAGGCUUGCCCGAGCGGCCGAAGGGAACGGUCUUGAAAACCGUCGUGGCAGCGAUGUCACCGUGGGUUCAAAUCCCACAGCCUCCGC